GGAAUAUUGGACAAUGGGCGCAAGCCUGAUCCAGCCAUGCCGCGUGAGUGAUGAAGGCCCUAGGGUUGUAAAGCUCUUUCACCGGUGAAGAUAAUGACGGUAACCGGAGAAGAAGCCCCGGCUAACUUCGUGCCAGCAGCCGCGGUAAUACGAAGGGGGCUAGCGUUGUUCGGAAUUACUGGGCGUAAAUCGCACGUAGGCGGAUUGUUAAGUGAGGGGUGAAAUCCCAGGGCUCAACCCUGGAACUGCCUUCAAAACUAUCGGUCUGGAGUUCGAGAGAGGUGAGUGGAAUUCCGAGUGUAGAGGUGAAAUUCGUAGAUAUUCGGAGGAACACCAGUGGCGAAGGCGGCUCACUGGCUCGAUACUGACGCUGAGGUGCGAAAGCGUGGGGAGCAAA
rnacentral:rRNA from 1 species